UACGUAGGGAGCAAGCGUUGUUCGGAUUUACUGGGCGUAAAGGGCGCGUAGGCGGCGCGGUAAGUCACUUGUGAAAUCUCUGAGCUUAACUCAGAACGGCCAAGUGAUACUGCAGUGCUAGAGUGCAGAAGGGGCAAUCGGAAUUCUUGGUGUAGCGGUGAAAUGCGUAGAUAUCGAGAGGAACACCUGCGGCGAAGGCGGGUUGCUGGGCCGACACGUGACGCUGAUGCGCGAAAGCCAGGGGAGCGAACGGG
rnacentral:rRNA from 1 species